rnacentral:rRNA from 1 species
CCUACGGGAGGCAGCAGUGGGGAAUAUUGGGCAAUGGAGGAAACUCUGACCCAGCAACGCCGCGUGAAGGAUGAAGGUUUUCGGAUUGUAAACUUCUGUCGCGAGGGACGAAGAAUGACGGUACCUCGUAAGAAAGCCCGGCGAACUACGUUCCAGCAGCCGCGGGAAUACGUAGGGGGCGAGCGUUGUCCGGAAUGACUGGGCGUAAAGGGAGUGUUGGCGGCAAUAUAAGUUAGGUGUGAAAUCCCGCGGCUCAACCGCGGAACUGCAUCUAAAACUAUAUAGCUGGAGGGCAGGAGAGGUGAGUGGAAUUCCUAGUGUAGCGGUGGAAUGCGUAGAUAGUGCGCAGAACUCCGAUUGCGAAGGCAGCAUACCGGCGGCGAUCUGACGCUGAGGCACGAAAGCGUGGGUAUCGAACAGGAUUAGAUACCCUUGUAGUC